rnacentral:rRNA from 1 species
AUUGAACGCUGGCGGCAUGCCUUACACAUGCAAGUCGAACGGUAACAGGUCUUCGGAUGCUGACGAGUGGCGAACGGGUGAGUAAUACAUCGGAACGUGCCCGAUCGUGGGGGAUAACGAAGCGAAAGCUUUACUAAUACCGCAUAAGAUCUACGGAUGAAAGCAGGGGACCGCAAGGCCUUGAGCGAACGGAGCGGGCGAUGGCAGAUUAGGUAGUUGGUGGGAUAAAAGCUUACCAAGCCGACGAUCUGUAGCUGGUCUGAGAGGACGACCAGCCACACUGGGACUGAGACACGGCCCAGACUCCUACGGGAGGCAGCAGUGGGGAAUUUUGGACAAUGGGCGAAAGCCUGAUCCAGCCAUGCCGCGUGCAGGAUGAAGGCCUUCGGGUUGUAAACUGCUUUUGUACGGAACGAAAAGACUCUGGUUAAUACCUGGGGUCCAUGACGGUACCGUAAGAAUAAGCACCGGCUAACUACGUGCCAGCCGCCGCCGUAACAC